CCUAAAUAGAAGAAUGUAAAUUUGGUAUGAAAAAGACACAAACAUCUGACAUUUAUCAGGAGGAAAAAUAUCUUUAUACUGUAUUAAUGUUUCUUUCCCUAUGUUUUUUCUUUCUGGGUUUUAAUUAGAGAGCUCCAUGUCAUUUCACUUUGCUCAGUUAGACAUUAAGCCCUGAAAUAGACAAACUGUGAAUUAAAUCUUAAAUGUUUUCUGGUUUUUGUCCAUGACUAUACCUCUAGUACGUAUGUGCCUUCCUCUUUUUCCUGUUAUCAUUUUAAUGGUUCUCCUUGGACUCCAAAACCCCCAAACAACUGGUUAAAAAUGGUAAGGAAAAGAUCCCAUUGAUGGAAACUUUGUCUUCAUUGGGUGCAAGUACAUGCACACCAGGAAAGAAUUAAAACAACAGCUUGCAUCCUACUACUGCCAUCAACCUGAACUGUUCAAAGAAAAGUGUAAGAAUUCAGUUUUAUUUAGCUGUGGCGUCAUCUGUCCUGUUAGGUAUCAUCCUGCCUGAUUUUUAUAACAUCAUUUAUCCUUCUCCCACUCAGGGUUGGAUUGUACCUUCUGCCAUAGCUCCAAAAUAGUACACUGCAACACAAGUGUCAAGGAUGUAUUUCUAAGCAUGAAGAGGCACUGCAUCUCAGGGACACCCACGUCUUUUCCUGUUUCUCUUUCACUUGAAGUUGAUUAACUUCAAUUUUGUUUUCCGUAGUGCUGGCUGGAGCAUUUCAAGCAUAGGCCGAUGGUGAGCCGAAAAAGAUGCCAGUGCUACUGGUGUCUUUUGAGAGGAUCACAGUUAUGACACUCAUUUUCUUUAAGCUGUUGUGACUCUUAGUUGUGUGAGCAAACCAAGGAUUUGAGGCAAUAAUUUUCCUUCUAGCUUUCAAUUUCUGCUCAUUUCUAGCAAAAACAUGGUUUCUUGCUGUAGGUUUCGAAUCUGCAAAAAGCACUACAGACUGAAUGAAAAGUGAUUCUUUUUUGCACCAAGAAAAACUUAAGACAGAACUUCAAAUGUAAUUUGACAAUGGCACUCACAUCCAGGCAUGUAAAACAUGGGAUCAAAAUUAGGGCAGGAAGGAUGUGUCUCAUAAAUGAUUCAAAUUUCCCACUGAUUUCUCGAAUAAACUGGUAUUGCAGUCUGUAGCA
rnacentral:lncRNA from 1 species